GAUUCUGGCUCAGGAUGAACGCUGGCGGCGUGCCUAACACAUGCAAGUCGAACGGAGUAAUUAAGCGGAAGUUUCGGAUGGAAGCAUAGUACUUAGUGGCGGACGGGUGAGUAACGCGUGGGCAACCUGCCCUGUACCGGGGGAUAACACUUAGAAAUAGGUGCUAAUACCGCAUAAGCGCACAGCUUCGCAUGAAGGUGUGUGAAAAAACUCCGGUGGUACAGGAUGGACCCGCGUCUGAUUAGCUAGUUGGUGGGGUAGAGGCCUACCAAGGCGACGAUCAGUAGCCGGCCUGAGAGGGUGACCGGCCACAUUGGGACUGAGACACGGCCCAAACUCCUACGGGAGGCAGCAGUGGGGAAUAUUGCACAAUGGGGGAAACCCUGAUGCAAGCGACGCCGCGUGAGUGAAGAAGUAUUUCGGUAUGUAAAGCUCUAUCAGCAGGGAAGAAAAUGACGGUACCUGACUAAGAAGCCCCGGCUAACUACGUGCCAGCCGCUGC
rnacentral:rRNA from 1 species